UGGGGGAAUUUUACGCAAUGGGGGAAACCCCUGACGUAGCGACACCGCGUGAGCGAAGAAGCCCUUUGGGGUGUAAAGCUCUGUCAACAGGAACGAAACAAAUGACGGUACCUGUGGAGGAAGCAUCGGCUAACUACGUGCCAGCAGCCGCGGUAAGACGUAGGAUGCAAGCGUUGUCCGGAUUUAUUGGGGCGUAAAGAGUUCGUAGGCGGUUUGUUAAGUCUGAUGUUAAAGACCGGGGCUCAACCUCGGAAAUGCAUUGGAUACUGGCAGACUGGAGUGCAGUAGAGGGCUAGUGGAAUUCCCCAGUGUAGCGGUGAAAUGCGUAGAUAUUGGGAAGAACACCGGUGGCGUAGGCGACUAGCUGGGCUGUAACUGACGCUGAGGAACGAAAGCCAGGGGGAGCAAAUGGGAUUAGAUACCCCCAGUAGUCCUGGCCGUAAAACGAUGGAU
rnacentral:rRNA from 1 species